GACGAACGCUGGCGGCGUGCUUAACACAUGCAAGUCGAACGAUGAACUCCCAGCUUGCUGGGGGGGAUUAGUGGCGAACGGGUGAGUAACACGUGAGUAACCUGCCCUGGACUCUGGGAUAACCCCGAGAAAUCGGAGCUAAUACCGGAUAGGACCUUGCACCGCAUGGUGUGGGGUGGAAAGUUUUUCGGUCUGGGAUGGACUCGCGGCCUAUCAGCUUGUUGGUGAGGUAAUGGCUCACCAAGGCGUCGACGGGUAGCCGGCCUGAGAGGGUGACCGGCCACACUGGGACUGAGACACGGCCCAGACUCCUACGGGAGGCAGCAGUGGGGAAUAUUGCACAAUGGGCGCAAGCCUGAUGCAGCAACGCCGCGUGCGGGAUGACGGCCUUCGGGUUGUAAACCGCUUUUAGUAAGGAAGAAGGGGCUUCGGCCUUGACGGUACUUGCAGAAAAAGGACCGGCUAACUACGUGCCAGCCGCCGCCGUAAAAC
rnacentral:rRNA from 1 species